AGACGUCCUCCCCCCUUAUUUCUGUUCUCACUUAGAGAUGCAGCAGCUUACUCCUGUAGCGACCUACUAAAAAGCAACACGGAGAAAGACAUCGUCUUUUUGAAAAAACGUUCUUUCGUCUCUUUUCUUUGUUCCUUGGUUUGUUUUUCUUGCACCUUUUUGUUUAGUUGAACGGCAAUAGGAGUAGUCUCUCCGUCUUUUUAAACUCUCUUUUUUAAGUUUCCCCUCCCCUUUCAUAUUUUUUUUCAUCAUUUCUUUUAGCAUUGGACUUUGGGGUCGAAAGCAUUUCUUUUUAUUUGCUUCUUUUAAGCCGAGCACAGUUUAGGUUUCGUGCUGUCUUAAGAGAACUAUCCAGCAGCUUCUUGCUCAUCCUUAUUGGGAGAAGUGCACCGUUACUUUAAAAAUACACAUACACAAAAACCUUAAGGGAGAAAGGUAAGUUUCGGUUUGGUUUCUUUAAUCAUUAGUUGCAGCGAUGCGCUGGCAAACCCAGAAAACCUGUAAGUGAGCGGAAUACAGAAUGUGAAGUUAAUUGCACAUGUUUGCCUCAUUUCAAAGCGACUGCUUUGCUUUUUUUUAUUUUUAUUUUUAUUUUUUUUAUUCUUGAGAGCCAGACUAGAAGACAGUGGACGCAUGCUUAACGUACUGAAUAUUCGAAAAUGUCACUUGAUAGAAACUUAAGUGGUAAAUGUGGUCAAGAUCCAGCAGGCUACAAUGGGAGGCUACAUGUUCAGUGAGCUUCGGGGUUGAGGUUGGAAGUUCAUUUCGUGGGAAGAGAGGGAUAACUUGAAUGUUGGAGGGGAAUGCAUGCCUCUACUUUCGCAAAGGAAUCGGAGGACUGGGGAAAUCAGAAGCCCUGGACUUACUUGCAGAUUAGACCAGUGGGGAAAAUCCUCAGCUUAAUUGCAUUAACUAGAUAGCGUGUGCCGGGGAGAUGGGAUUGCCAGAUGGAAUUUAGAUGCUGCACCAGGCAGCGAGUUGUAGUUGCCUGGAAAAAGUACAUACAGCCUAAGGGCUGGGGCUGGGCUGGGGCUGGGGUAAGGUUAGAAGCUGUCAAAACUCAUCAUUGCCAGAAUUGAGGACUCUGAUUCACGGAUUCCAAUGAUUGUAAUUCAGAUUUUAAAGAAGACUGCCAAUUUGGGGCCGAAUCUUUGAGCCUAUACCGGAUAUGAGAUUCCCUUUGUUCAGAAAAGCGUAAAUAAGAUCCUUGGAGCCGUGAGUGUGAAGUGGCAGCUGCUUGGGAGCCUCGCGGUGCUGGGCGCUGGGCAGUGGAUUCCAAGCCCUGUCCUUGGUCCUACGCAGCGGAGCCCGCCUUCCGGGAAAGGGAGACUCACUGGCAGCCGCGAGGCAUCGCAGCUACCCAGGGAGCUGAGUCGGCUGUAUAGCCCUCAGCCCCUCCUCGCAGCUCCCCUUCCUCGAGUAGCUAUUGUUAAAACUGACGCCAGGAGAAAGAUGGUUGGGGACGAGACUCUGGGCAGACAGGCACACGCUUCAUUUUAACUUUUGUGAUUUCUCCGGGUGCAGGGGAAAACAGCCGGCUUUCUACUGCGAAAGAGCGAAUCCGGGUAGACGUGGGAAAGGGGGAGGAUGCUCGCCGGGCGGCGAGGGCGGGGGAGGUGGUGGCGGACCGAGGUGCUGGCUUUGCCUCGGAGAAGUUUAAAUUAUCGGCACGAGGGGGUGUGGGCGAAUGUGUGCGUGCGAGCGCCGAGUGGUGCUCGAGACGCAAAGUAUGGGGGCAAGCUACAAAGCUGGCCCGGGUUGUUCAUCUCUCGCAGCUCCCUACCCCACCCACAGGCUGGUUCCAAAAGCUAGCGCUCUGCCACCCCCCCCCUUCCCCGACUCUGCCUAGGGCGUGUGUAUGGGGGGGGGGGGGAGUAGGGAUGGCAAGGUGGCAGUGCCCACCCUGUACCUCUGUGGCAGACAGGACUUCUCGUGGCCAUUGUUGCUUAAUUUAUGCCCAGCACGUUGCUACGUGCCCACCUAUUUCACGUCUAUAAAGAAUUAAUAGGAAGGCUGUACAACUGUGGCAGAUUGGAGGGUGGAUGCGUUCCCCAUUUUCCAUUUUCAGGUAUCUGUUACCAAAACAGACGUGGAGAUUGGUUAUCUUCUCUACCUCCUAACUACAGCUCCAGGUCUGCCUUUAUUGUGGUGAGGGUGAGAAAAAUAAUCAGCCAUUUAGUGUUUACGCUAACGCUGAUGGACAGAGAUGAAUGUCCGAGCACUUCGUCCCUUAAAUGGACGGGUUCUGCCCCUUCCCCCACUCAUGUACACACAUUCUAUUUGGCUAAGAUUCUAAACCUGCAACAUUUCUCCACGACCUUAUUUAUUAGAGCUAUUCCUAAGAUAGUGGGGUAGGACGUGCGUAUGUUUUAUUUUUCUGGGCCUACUAUUAAUUGCAACCUAAAAAGAUAGGCUUAAAAUGAAGGAGAAUUGGAGGGGUUACAAGGUAGACAAUAGUGACCCAACAGCUUAUCUUCCUAAAUGAUAAUCCCUUUCUAAAGGUCAGGAGAGGGAGCUUGUGUUUUGUGGGGAAAGGAAGGUCAGGGAUGUUUGAUAAUCCUCGUAAAAUGGCUUCUUAAAUGGGACAUCUGAGAGAUUUGUCAAAACUGAGCAAACAAGUCUGUGAAAAAGAAAAAUGUUGAAUGUUUCAAAGUCAUCAUUUAAGAGUUUAAUUAAAAAGCAGUUUCCCCCAGUUAUCUCUGCCAUUCCAUGAACCUAUCUUAACAGACCCUUGAAGUCCCCCCCCCCCCAUCUUUUAACCACGGGCUUGGGCAUUCCUUUUAUAGAGCUAACCCGUUUGCAGUUCUGUGGGAGAACGAAGAUUGUAGACCGAUGUGCUUUAGCCUACUUGGAAAGUAUCUGUUGAGAGAGGUCUAACUUCAAGCAGACAUCUUCAGAAAGUAAAGUGAAGGGCAUUGGAAGGGUUUCAGGUGUAGAUUAACAAAUUGGGUAGGCCCAUUUCUCUCCAACACUUCAAAACUGGUAUUCUUAGCAAUAAUGCAUGCCUGGGAUGGGAAUAUUAUAACUGUUUAGAGGGAGGUCAAAGAGGCACAGGCGCUCUCUGAGCAGUUUUCCCAGGAACCCGCACAAAGUCAGUUAAGGUCAUUUAAUUCCAAGUCUGAUUUGAGGUGACACAGAAAUGCUGGUGUUGAAUCAAUUAGCUAUUUCUGGUGUCCCUAACCAGGGUCUCCCAAACUGAGGAUGGCCUGUCUCCAUUUUGACCAUAAUUGUUUUCCCUAAUUUACUAUGCCUGAUUUCACUUCCCACUAGAGGGUAAAUUUGCACCCCCCUUCAUCCCUGGGAUAGAGGAGUCCUCCCUCCCCGCCCGUCGCGUGGGGGCGGGGAUCUCUGGGCGCCCUUAGCGAACCUUGCUGCAUCAAACCCGCAUCAUGUCCUUGAAGCUGUAACCUCCAUCACGUUCUUGCGGCGACUCGAUCGCCCACUGUUCAGUUCUUUCCUCCUGCCUCCUGCAAUUUCAGGUAGGUAUGUCAGGUGAUGUUUUUAAAUGUAGUUUUCUAGAGGGAAGGGUUAAAACCAAAACCUUUUCAUU
rnacentral:lncRNA from 1 species